rnacentral:rRNA from 1 species
GACGAACGCUGGCGGCGUGCUUAACACAUGCAAGUCGAACGGAAAGGCCCUGCUUUUGUGGGGUGCUCGAGUGGCGAACGGGUGAGUAACACGUGAGUAACCUGCCCUUGACUUUGGGAUAACUUCAGGAAACUGGGGCUAAUACCGGAUAGGAGCUCCUGCUACAUGGUGGGGGUUGGAAAGUUUCGGCGGUUGGGGAUGGACUCGCGGCUUAUCAGCUUGUUGGUGGGGUAGUGGCUUACCAAGGCUUUGACGGGUAGCCGGCCUGAGAGGGUGACCGGCCACAUUGGGACUGAGAUACGGCCCAGAGUCCUACGGGAGGCAGCAGUGGGGAAUAUUGCACAAUGGGCGGAAGCCUGAUGCAGCAACGCCGCGUGCGGGAUGACGGUCUUCGGGUUGUAAACCGCUUUCGCCUGUGACGAAGCGUGAGUGACGGUAAUGGGUAAAGAAGCACCGGCUAACUACGUG